GAUGAACGCCGGCGGCGUGCCUAAUACAUGCAAGUCGAGCGAACGGACGAGAAGCUUGCUUCUCUGAUGUUAGCGGCGGACGGGUGAGUAACACGUGGAUAACCUACCUAUAAGACUGGGAUAACUUCGGGAAACCGGAGCUAAUACCGGAUAAUAUUUUGAACCGCAUGGUUCAAAAGUGAAAGACGGUCUUGCUGUCACUUAUAGAUGGAUCCGCGCUGCAUUAGCUAGUUGGUAGGGUAACGGCUUACCAAGGCAACGAUGCAUAGCCGACCUGAGAGGGUGAUCGGCCACACUGGAACUGAGACACGGUCCAGACUCCUACGGGAGGCAGCAGUAGGGAAUCUUCCGCAAAGGGCGAAAGCCUGACGGAGCAACGCCGCGUGAGUGAUGAAGGUCUUCGGAUCGUAAAACUCUGUUAUUAGGGAAGAACAUAUGUGUAAGUAACUGUGCACAUCUUGACGGUACCUAAUCAGAAAGCCACGGCUAACUACGUG
rnacentral:rRNA from 1 species